CCCAAGAAAGCUCACAUACCUAAAAUGAUUCUAUAUUUAUUCACCGCUGUCACCUUUCUUCUGUCUUAGAAAUCUCAGGUCUCUUUGGUUGAGCCCUGUCAGAGGAAAUCAGCCUUUGACUGGCAAAUGCCUGUGAUGCUGCUCACAUUCUGUGGAUGGUUGAGGAGCGACUCAGUAGGAUCUGGACACAGCACAGGCAGGCUGAGGUGUUCUACUUUUCCAAAGUGAAAGGCAUUGGGUACAGAGUUUCAUUUUCCUUCUCAACUACUAACUGUGUGACUGCAACUGAAAAAGACUCCAGAUGACUGUUUUAGUGACCAUUUUAAAUGAAAAUAUCACCAGAUUUUAAUGGUUAUCUUUCAACUCAAAAAUGGAGUAGCAAUUUUCAAAUUCUUCUCAUCCCAGUAGUAAAUGAUUCUGCAUAAAAAUGAUGAAAGCAUCGGCGUAUUCAAACUCCAGUUUCAAAGCAAGGAUAUCAGAUAAAUGGCUCAAACAUGUAGGAGCAGUGCCACUGAGCUAAAGCCCCAGUCGUGAUAAUCACUGUAAACAUCAGGGACAUCAGAAGAAAUGAGAGAGAUGGACAAGAGAAAGAGUAGAUACAAACAAGGAAGAAAAGAAAGGUAGUACAUAUAAACAGAAGAAAGAUGAACUUUGAAGGACUGGACAUUUUUCAGGACUUCCAAUGAUUAAGAAAGAAUUAUUCCAACAAUUGCUCAUUGCUCAAUAAGUGGCUGGCACUAACUUCAGAGAAGCCAUACAUAGGAAAUAUCUGUCAUUGAGGCCAGGGUUUUGUUCCUGGGUCAUAGUGAGAUCUGGUGCUAACAAAGGUUCAGGUGUUGGGUAUUUUGCCUCAGCAACCCAGAAAAUAACUAAGACAACUUCCAACACAAAAGCUCCCUUAAUUGAGAAAAAGUGGAUCUGCGACCCAUUUUGUA
rnacentral:lncRNA from 1 species